rnacentral:rRNA from 1 species
GAGUGAAGCGGGAAAAGCUCAAAUUUAAAAUCUGGUAGUCUUUGGCUGCCCGAGUUGUAAUCUAGAGAAGUGUUAUCCGCGCUGGACCGUGUACAAGUCUCCUGGAAUGGAGCGUCAUAGAGGGUGAGAAUCCCGUCUUUGACACGGACUACCAGGGCUUUGUGAUGUGCUCUCAAAGAGUCGAGUUGUUUGGGAAUGCAGCUCUAAAUGGGUGGUAAAUUCCAUCUAAAGCUAAAUAUUGGCGAGAGACCGAUAGCGAACAAGUACCGUGAGGGAAAGAUGAAAAGAACUUUGGAAAGAGAGUUAAACAGUACGUGAAAUUGUUGAAA